UAAUACGAAGGGGGCUAGCGUUGCUCGGAAUUACUGGGCGUAAAGGGCGCGUAGGCGGACAGUUAAGUCGGGGGUGAAAGCCCGGGGCUCAACCUCGGAAUUGCCUUCGAUACUGGCUGUCUUGAGUGCGGGAGAGGUGUGUGGAACUCCGAGUGUAGAGGUGAAAUUCGUAGAUAUUCGGAAGAACACCAGUGGCGAAGGCGACACACUGGCCCGUUACUGACGCUGAUGCGCGAAAGCGUGGGGAGCAAACAGGAUUAGAUACCCUGGUAGUCCACGCCGUAAACGAUGAGUGCUAGUUGUCGGCAUGCAUGCAUGUCGGUGACGCAGCUAACGCAUUAAGCACUCCGCCUGGGGAGUACGGUCGCAAGAUU
rnacentral:rRNA from 1 species